UACGAAGGGGGCUAGCGUUGUUCGGAAUUACUGGGCGUAAAGCGCGCGUAGGCGGCUCGGAAAGUCGGUCGUGAAAUGCCGGGGCUCAACCCCGGGACUGCGUCCGAUACUUCCGGGCUGGAGGUAGGUAGGGGAGAUCGGAAUUCCUGGUGUAGCGGUGAAAUGCGUAGAUAUCUGGAGGAACACCGGUGGCGAAGGCGGCAUCCUGGACCGAGAUUGACGCUGAGGCGCGAAAGCCAGGGGAGCAGACGGG
rnacentral:rRNA from 1 species